ensembl:lncRNA
GUCUGUAUCCAGACCCCACAGGGGAGAUGAUGGGGCCUCUGAGCAUGUGCAGUAGGGCAGGACCUGCGUCUGGGGAGGAGCCCUUGAUUUUAAGGAGAGGGGAAUUUUCAUAUCUAUGGAAAGGAGCAAAUAAUGGCAAGCAGCUCCCUGGGAACAACUGUGCCCGGUGCGUUUCACUGUACAGAGCUCUGCCACACGGAGAUGGUUAAAGAAAGGUCAGGCCUGUGUGGGCAUUGUGUGGAUUCGAGGCCAAAUGCACUGUCUGGCACGAUGUCCUGGUCUAUUGGUUUGUGCUGCAUGAUAGCAGGACCCGGGUCCCUCUUGUUCACUCUGUCCCUGUCCCUGCAUGUGUGUGGCCCCAGGACGGAUUCAGGAGGCACCAGUGGGACACAGACUAGCAAGGGAGGCUUGGCGAAGAGACGACAGAAAAUGGAAGCCUCAGCAGGAGACAGGCGGAGCCUUAGGUCUCGGAGUCCAGAACCUGGUUUGGAUCCUGGGUCUGCUGCUUAUACGAUUCAUGACAGACAGCUCACUACCUCUGGCCACCAUGCUGCCCCCUGCGACACUGCUCAGAGAUUUUUCUAAGGCCCAGAAUGGAAGUACUGCGAUUUCAUCUCUGCUGUUCUUUGCCGUGGCCCCAGGGCCUUGAAAGUGCCUGGCACACGGUAUGUGCUCAAUGGUGUGACCCUCACGGGCGGAACCCUGGAGGAUGUCGUACAUCCCAGAAAACCCACUACACCUCCGCCUCAUAGAGAGGAAGUUGAAAACGCAUCGAUCUCUGUGACCAAGGUUAGCCAAGCAGCAGUUCGCUGUACGAAUAAAUGUCUGGAAGCUCAUGGCCACCACUCUGAGCACCUCUUGUAAUGGUAGAGGCCAAAGGUAACUUGUAUUAACCUCAUGAUGGCUCAAUAAAUUUCAUAUUAAAAC